AAACCAACUGGGAUUACCUUAGUAACGGCGAGUGAAGCGGUAAAAGCUCAAAUUUGAAAUCUGGUACUUUCAGUGCCCGAGUUGUAAUUUGUAGAAUUUGUCUUUGAUUAGGUCCUUGUCUAUGUUCCUUGGAACAGGACGUCAUAGAGGGUGAGAAUCCCGUUUGGCGAGGAUACCUUUUCUCUGUAAGACUUUUUCGAAGAGUCGAGUUGUUUGGGAAUGCAGCUCAAAGUGGGUGGUAAAUUCCAUCUAAAGCUAAAUAUUGGCGAGAGACCGAUAGCGAACAAGUACAGUGAUGGAAAGAUGAAAAGAACUUUGAAAAGAGAGUGAAAAAGUACGUGAAAUUGUUGAAAGGAAGGGCAUUUGAUCAGACAUGGUGUUUUUGCAUGCACUCGCCUCUCGUGGGCUUGGGCCUCUCAAAAUUCACUGGGCCAACAUCAAUUCUGGCAGCAGGAUAAAUCAUUAAGAAUGUAGCUACUUCGGUAUGUUAUAGCUUUUUGGAAUACUGUUAGCCGGGAUUGG
rnacentral:rRNA from 1 species